UCUACUCGGCGUCUCAGAGAGCACGGGCAUGUCUAGCAUGUUCCCCGUGUCGUCGCAGUCCUAAUGGAGCCAUCUCCCCCUCUGUUUGCUUCCCCGGUGAGCCGUCACCGUCGCUGCACAGUUUCGGCCCGUGACCGCGUCGUCUUCCUUGGUCGUGUCCUCUUCUUCCUCGUGUACCCGAGCGCCGCUCGUCUCCAUGACCUCUGCACCUCGUCUGCUUCUCCCUCGUCGCCUUCCAUGUGCCUCCCCGUGAAUGCUGGGCACGGCAGGUCCUCGCUCGGACGUGCAUGGCGGCACCCGAGCUCGGCCCCACUCGCCUGGCUAUAAAUAGGCGUCCCUGAGCUCAUCAGAGCACUCCAUCACCUCCACUUCACUCCCAAGACCCCGCCCAGCCUCUUCCCCGAGCUCGAGAAGCUCUCCUGCCCCUCCCAUGGCCGAAGCCUCCCCGCGGUGCUCCGCUCAAAUUCGGCCGACCCAAGCCUCCCCACCACUCCCUGACCUCUCCUAGAGCUUCCCCUCUCACCGGCGAUCCUCCCCACCACCUCAUACUGCCGCUGGAGCCCCUGUAGCCGCCGUCCCCUAGUUCGGCCACCGCCUCCCCGCUUCUCUGUUGCCGCAAGGGCUUCGUAGUCCAGGCCCUCCCCGGUGCUGCUGCUGCGUCAGGUGGACGCGGUACUCCUCGCCGAGCACGCCAGUACCCGCGCACGCGCUGGAGACGGCCGGAGUUGGCCGUGCCGGCGCCAGCAUCGCGCGGCCUCGCCCCUGCCUCUGUCCGUCAAGAGGUGGAAGAAGGGACGAGGAGGAGAAAGUCAACGCCCGCGGUACCCACUCCUCAGCGACCCUAGAGCCCGGCCCCGCCGCUGCUAACGUGAAGGGCCUGUUUGUAGAAGUUAUUUUACAGAUUGGUCCCUGAACUUCGUCGGGCUAUAACUUUUCAACCACAACUCUGAAUAUGCCCCCUCCGAGGGAGAAACCUUUCCGGCGAUUCUUUCUACGAGCCUUCCGCACUUCUCCUCGGUGCUUUCUUCAUCCCAAGGCAAGCCACAACCACCAUUUGUGCAGUAGCCUUGGUUUUAAACUUGAAUCUUUAAUAAAUGCGUGUUAUUUCGGUUAUGCUUAUGGAUCGGUGUUCACCGUCAUGCGAUGCUUUCUUGCACCUGGUUAUCAUGAACUACUUGCUAGUAUUACUUUCAUAUCGUUAUGCUUUCUGGUAGUACAUGUUGGAUUGGCCGUGUCCUUCGGGGCAUGACUAUUGUCGGUUACCGAGUACCGUUGAUAUGCAUGUUUCUUUGUUGUUAGUUGGUUAACUGCUUACUUGGUAAUGUUAUUGCUAUGUUCUUGUGUGGUAUUUAUUUCUGAUGCUAGUAGUCAUGCUAUUCUCAUGGUAGAGUUAAGCUUAUGAUAUUCAUGCUUGUCAUUUAUGCCAUGCUCAGUUGGAUGUGAUUCAUUGUGGUCAUGCUCGAUGAUUAUGUUGCACCUCCAUGUUUAUGUUGAUAUCAUGCUCAUGCAUUGUAGUAGCCUCAUGUUAUCUUCAUAUGACUCGGCUUAUUGCAUUCAAGUUUAACCGGACUUAAUUGAACUUGAGCAACUGUUGGCUAAGUCAUGGUGCCACCAAAUCGAGCUGACCAGUGCAGCCACACUUGUCUUUUAUGGGAAGGUCCUAACUGGGUUUA